GGCGAGGUAGCUCAGUUGGUAGAGCAGGGGACUGAAAAUCCCUGUGUCGGCGGUUCGAUUCCGUCCCUCGCCA
rnacentral:tRNA from 1 species